rnacentral:misc_RNA from 1 species
UCCGGUUUGUCACCGGCAGUCUGGUGUGAGUCCCCAACUUAAUGAUGGCAACACACCACGGGGGUUGCGCUCGUUGCGGGACUUAACCCAACAUCUCACGACACGAGCUGACGACAGCCACGCACCACCUGUAUACCGACCACAAGGGGGGCCGUAUCUCUACGGCUUUCCGGUAUAUGUCAAACCCAGGUAAGGUUCUUCGCGUUGCAUCGAAUUAAUCCACAUGCUCCGCCGCUUGUGCGGGCACCGUCAAUUCCUUUGAGUUUUAGCCUUGCGGCCGUACUCCCCAGGCGGAUAACUUAAUGCGUUAGCUGCGCCACCCAAACACCAAGUGCCCGGACAGCUAGUUAUCAUCGUUUACGGCGUGGACUAC